UGAUGCUGCCACCACCGUGCUUCACAUCAUGAUGCUGCCACCACCGUGCUUCACAUCAUGAUGCUGCCACCACCGUGCUUCACAUCAUGAUGCUGCCUCCACCGUGCUUCACAUCAUGAUGCUGCCUCCACCGUGCUUCACAUCAUGAUGCUGCCUCCACCGUGCUUCACAUCAUGAUGCUGCCACCACCGUGCUUCACAUCAUGAUGCUGCCUCCACCGUGCUUCACAUCAUGAUGCUGCCUCCACCGUGCUUCACAUCAUGAUGCUGCCUCCACCGUGCUUCACAUCAUGAUGCUGCCUUCACCGUGCUUCAUGGGGGGAAUUGUGUGUUUAUGAUGAUGUGCAGUGUUUGGUGUCUAGCAUAGCAUCUAGCUCAGUUUUUGUCUCAUCAGACCAAAGAAACUUCUUAAGUGGCUUUCUCAUUGCUGUUCUCGCAUAAAGUUUAGAUGGAUGAAGAAUUUGAGCAACACCUUGUGUAUGCACAGUGUCUCCCAUCUCAGCUGCUGAAGCUUCUAACUCCUACAGAGGAGUCAUAGGACUCUUGGUGGCCUCCCUCACUAAUCUCUUUCUUGCUCAGUAACCUGGUUUUUGAGGACGUCCUGCUCCAGGCAGAUUUAAACGUGCCAGAUUCCUUUCAUGUCUUAAUGAUGGUUUAACUGUCCAUCUCCUGACUCACGCUUUUCAACAACCUUCUCACAGAGUUGUGUGGAGCUUUCUUUUGUCUUCAUUGUGUAUUUAUAUCCAGGAGAGCUGAAUCACCACUGACUAAACUUGUUAAAUGCAUUAACUGAUUUCAGAUGAUCUAUUUCAGUAAGUUGACAUGUGCUGACUCAGGUGAAUACUUGUGCAAUCACUUAUUUUUAAUUUUUGUGGAAAUUAAUUUUUGUGCAGCUGGUUAGCUCAGUGACUAACACCCUGACUUUGGCGUGGGAGUUUGGUGGUUCCCUCCGGCAAAGUCCUCAGUGUUGCCUCGCCUCCCUGCCUGGUGCUGGAUCUCAGAUGUACAUCGCUUUGGAUCAAAGUGUCUGAUAAACUAAACAGCAUUCAGUGCCGAAAACCAGUAAAAGAGGGUCUUCCAAAGGGAUUUUUUAGGCACUCUAAGUAUUUUUCUGGAUAUAAUUUUGAAGGUUUUCAAUCAGCCAAAGGAACAAUCUCGUUUGAAAUGUUCAGAUUUUACGACUCACAGCUUUGAGUUUCCUUUUUAAUGAGCCAUAUAGUCUCUAUAGAAACAGUAAUACUGUGUCUCAGAACAUCAAAUCAUUCUAAUAGUGUUAAAAUACAUGAAUGUUUCUGCACACUAAAAACUAAACUACACUAAAAACAAAUCUUCAGUGUUAGUCUUAUGAAGUUUUUAAUAUAUACUGUGAAUAUUUACAAAGAUGUUUUUUAAUAUGUGAUCUACGAAUCAGAUGACAUCAUGAAGUUUUAAAGUCUAAUAGUAGCGUUAGUGUUGUUCUUAUUUCAGUGUUAAUUACUGUCCAUGCUUUACAGGACUAAUUGAUGUUGAGAUUUUUAACUGAAAGUCGGAAUGAAAUCAGAUUUAUGUCAUCAGCUGUAAUGGAAAGAUGCUGGAAUGAACUAUGAUUAUGUGUCAUGAAGCUCUGCACCAUAGAGUGUCUUAUAUAAUUAUUGUUUACAUGAUAAUGCAGUCCAGUGCAGAGGCUGUUUGAAUCAUUUGUGUCUUAAUAAAGCAGUAAACUGUGAUCAUAAAGGGAACGUUACUGUGAACAUUGUUUUUUUCUCAUAUUGAUCAUAAACACAGCUUCCUGACUUUGUCCUCGUGACUUUAUUCAGUGAUCGUUACAAAAAUCAGCAGGUUCAUCGUCAAACAGGCAAAAAAUUCAAAUGUACAAAACAGGGUUUGUUUGUUUUUUUCUUCAUUUUCAUUGGUACAAAAUCUAGAAGGUACUAGUACUUCUGCUACAAAGUAGAUAGAGCUAUAUAUAUAUAUAUAUAUUUUAAAUUUCAUCCAACAGAUGGUUAGAAAGCAGAAAUCUUCAAGUUCAUCACCAACUUUUUACAAACGCUGUACAGAUUUUAUACAUUAUCGUUUCAUAGACGUGUGUAAAGCAGUGCAACAGUACAAAAAAUAAAGCUGUGUUGCACAACAAAGCUUCGUGUUCUCUGUCACUUUGUCUUUUGAUAAAUAUUUAUUUGGA
ensembl:lncRNA